UCCGUGGUAGUCCAGUGGUUAGGACUCCACACUCCCAAUGCUGGAGGCCUGGUUUCGAUCCCCAGCCAGGGAA